GAAUAAUGUGAAGUCACUGGUUAUAACAAUUACGGAUUUUAUAAAAGCGUUGCAGGGUCGUUGGCAAUUUUGCAUUAAUGUGAUUUUAUCAAAAGGACCGUUGUAAUUCUCACCCAGACUUUCAGUUUGAGAUGUGGAGAAGAGCUUACUAAGAUUUAUUUUUUAACUCUGUACAAAUGCAAUGGAAACAAUAAAUUGCCACACAUUGAAUAUAUUGCUCUAUUUGAAAGCAUAAAUAAAUCUUUUUUUCUCUAUAUUGAGUAGUUCUAACAUGGUUCUAAUUUCAUUUUGCAACACUUCCAAAGAGGACUAUGAAUUUAAUACUUAAAACAAAUAUAUAUUGCCUUGCUUAUUUUUAACACAUCUUUGUAAAGAACAUCGUUAGUCUCCGUUGUCGUACCUUAAAGAGGUGGAAGUUUAUGAAGCAGAGAUGAAGAAAAAAGGCGAAAAGUGUAGAAAAAUGUUAACAAAUAAAACCUCGAGAAUAAAACAUAAAAC
rnacentral:lncRNA from 1 species